rnacentral:rRNA from 1 species
UCGUGGUGACCUGCGGAAGGAUCAUUA